rnacentral:rRNA from 1 species
ACUCCUACGGGAGGCAGCAGUGGGGAAUAUUGCACAAUGGGCGCAAGCCUGAUGCAGCCAUGCCGCGUGUGUGAAGAAGGCCUUCGGGUUGUAAAGCACUUUCAGUCGUGAGGAAGGUAGUGUAGUUAAUAGCUGCAUUAUUUGACGUUAGCGACAGAAGAAGCACCGGCUAACUCCGUGCCAGCAGCCGCGGUAAUACGGAGGGUGCGAGCGUUAAUCGGAAUUACUGGGCGUAAAGCGCAUGCAGGUGGUUUGUUAAGUCAGAUGUGAAAGCCCGGGGCUCAACCUCGGAAUAGCAUUUGAAACUGGCAGACUAGAGUACUGUAGAGGGGGUAGAAUUUCAGGUGUAGCGGUGAAAUGCGUAGAGAUCUGAAGGAAUACCGGUGGCGAAGGCGGCCCCUGGACAGAUACUGACACUCAGAUGCGAAAGCGUGGGAGCAAACAGGAUUAGAUA